GUAGGCUUAGUUUAAUAAAAAUAUUAGAUUGUGAUUCUAAAGACAAAGAUUAAAAUUCCUUAGCCCACC
rnacentral:tRNA from 1 species